rnacentral:sRNA from 1 species
GCGCUUUCCUGCAGCUAAGAUGGCGACGGAGCAUCCCGAGCCUCCCAAAGCGGAAUUGCAGCUGCCGCCGCCGCCACCUCCGGGCCACUAUGGCGCCUGGGCUGCCCAGGAGCUUCAGGCCAAGUUGGCAGAGAUCGGAGCUCCGAUCCAGGGUAAUCGCGAGGAGCUGGUGGAGCGGCUGCAGACCUACACCCGCCAGGUAGGUGUUGGCGGCGGGACGUCAGGAUAGGCCGAGCUUCUCCAGGAGACCUUAUAUACCCCAUCACAGCUCGGUCUUCAUUCUUUCUUUAUCUCGGCACAGCAAGGCGGAGGCUUGCCCUUUUUGGCUUGUUCUUGCCUUUGCCAGCUUAGUUGUAAUUUCUUGUAUCCCUCUUGGUCCUCUUCAGUGACCAGCCAGGGCGCUGGCAGACAGGCACUGGGUACGUUUUGUUGAAUGAAUUGGGAGCGAACGUCGUUGAGUGAAACAGCUAGUUUUGGACUGACCUAGAGUCCUUUCUCUUUUUCAGACUGGCAUCGUGCUGAAUCGGCCGGUUUUGAGAGGGGAAGAUGGGGACAAAGCCGCUCCACCUCCCAUGUCAGCACAGGUAGGGAGGUUCUUCCAUUUUUUAAGAUUCCAUCUGCUGAUCCUUUUGUAGUUCAUAAGCAUGAUGAUUGGGUGUUCACGUGCAUGUGUGAGAUGUGACACCCUUGCACAUUACUUGCCUGACCUGAGUGGGGAAAAAAAAAGAUUCCAUAUGUUCAGGGUAGCCCUUUUCUCACUUGCAGUGUUGGUCAGGGAGGUACUGCCAUGACAGAAUUGUGAGCUCUUCAGUUCUCUCUUUGAUGCUGAUACUUGCCUCCUUUUCCACUGUCUGCUUCUCCAAAAGCAGCUUGUGGCCGGGUGCAGUGGCGCAUGCCUCCUGUAAUCCCACCACUUCGGGAUGCUUAGAUGGGAGGAUCGCUUGAAGCCAGGAGUUCGAGACCAGCCUGGGCAACAUAGUGAGACUCUGUUACUACAAAAAAAUUUUAAAAAUUAGCUGGGCACGGUGGCACGCGCCUAUAAAGUCCCUAUAAAGAGGCUCAAGGAUUGCUUGAGCCCUGGGGUUGGAGGCUGCAGUGAGCUCUGGUUGUGCCACUGUACUCCAUGUACUCCAUCCUGGGUGACAGAAUGAGACUUUGCUUCUUUAAAAAAAAAAAAAAUGGGGGGGUGAUGGGGGAGGGGCUGGGAGAGUGUCAGAAAAAAUAGCUAAUGCAUGCCAGGCUUAAUACUUAGGCAGUGGGUUGAUAGGUGCAGCAAACCACCAUGACACACAUUUGCCUAUGUAACGAACCUGCACAUACUGCACAUGUACCCCAAAACUUAGAAUAAAAUAAAAUUAAACCAAAAAAUAGGAAAAAAAAAAAAAAAAGAGGCAGGGCAUGGUGGCUCAUGUCUGUAAUCCCAGCACUUUGGGAGGCCAAGGCGGGUGG